CCCUUAGAUGUUCUGGGCCGCACGCGCGCUACACUGAUGCAUUCAACGAGCCUAUCCUUGACCGACAGGUCCGGGUAAUCUUUGAAUCUGCAUCGUGACGGUGAUAGAUUAUUGCAAUUAUUAAUCUUCAACGAGGAAUGCCUAGUAGGCGCAAGUCAUCAGCUUGCGUCGAUUACGUCCCUGCCCUUUGUACACACCGCCCGUCGCUCCUACCGAUUGGGUGUGCUGGUGAAAUGUUCGGAUCGGCCGUUUGUCGCGGUUUCCGCGGCUCGUGGCUGAGAAGUUCAUUAAACCCUCCCACCUAGAGGAAGGAGAAGUCGUAACA
rnacentral:rRNA from 1 species